UGGGGAAUAUUUCGCAAUGGGCGAAAGCCUGACGCAGCGACGCCGCGUGGGUGAUGAAGGCCUUCGGGUCGUAAAGCCCUGUCGGGAGGGACGAAACCUCGGUGACCUAAUACGUCACCGACCUGACGGUACCUCUUAAGGAAGCACCGGCUAACUCCGUGCCAGCAGCCGCGGUAAUACGGAGGGUGCGAGCGUUGUUCGGAUUUACUGGGCGUAAAGGGCGCGUAGGCGGCAAUUCAAGUCAGCUGUGAAAUCUCUGGGCUUAACCCGGAACGGCCAGCUGAUACUGCUUUGCUAGAGUGCGGAAGGGGCAAUCGGAAUUCUUGGUGUAGCGGUAAAAUGCGUAGAUAUCAAGAGGAACACCUGAGGUGAAGACGGGUUGCUGGGCCGACACUGACGCUGAGGCGCGAAAGGCAGGGGAGCAAAC
rnacentral:rRNA from 1 species